UACGGGGGGAGCAAGCGUUGUUCGGAUUUACUGGGCGUAAAGGGCGCGUAGGCGGCCACCGCAGGUCGGUUGUGAAAUCUCCGGGCUUAACCCGGAAAGGUCAACCGAUACUGCGGGGCUAGAGUGCAGAAGGGGCAACUGGAAUUCUCGGUGUAGCGGUGAAAUGCGUAGAUAUCGAGAGGAACACCAGCGGCGAAGGCGGGUUGCUGGGCUGACACUGACGCUGAUGCGCGAAAGCUAGGGGAGCGAACGGG
rnacentral:rRNA from 1 species